rnacentral:ncRNA from 1 species
CUACGGACGUAAUUGGAUUGAGCCUUGGUAUGGAAACUUACUAAGUGAUAAAUUUUAAAUUCAGAGAAACCCCGUAAAAAAAGGGGUAAUCCUAAGCUAAAUCCUAUUUUUCAAAAACAAACAAAAAACAAACAAAGGUUCAUAAAGAUAGAACAAGAAUACAAAAGGAUAGGUGCAGAGACUCAACAAAAGUUGUUCUAACAAAUAGAGUUGACUACGUUGCAUUAGUCAAGUAAAGGAAUCCUUCUGUUAAAGUUAAAAUUCUAGAAAUUCAAGAAAAAAGUGUCGCCCGUGUGUGCGCGACGUCGCGACGAUCGUUCAACCCUCAGGUGUGUCGUCUGUCUAGG